rnacentral:lncRNA from 7 species
AAUGUGUGAUUUUCGUAGAGAUAAUGCGUGAUUUCAGGUUACAUGGGAGAUUUUUGAAGAGAAAAUGUGUGAUAUUCGGGAUGAAUCAGGGAUUCUUGAAGAGAAAAUGCAUCAUUUUCGGGUUCAAUGGGGGAUUCUCGAAGAGAAAUUGCAUUUUCUACUGGUUAAAUGGGGGAUUUUGAAGAGGAAAUGCAUGAGUUUCGUUUACAUGUGAGAUUUUUGUAGAGGAAACGCGUGAUUUUUUGGAUACAUGGGGGAUUCUUGUAGCAAAAAUGUUUGAUUUUGGGGUCAAAUGGGGGAUAUUUGAAGAGCAAAAGUGUGAUUUCCGAGUUAAAUGGGGGAUUUUCCUAGAGAAGAUGUGUGAUUUGGGGGAUAAUGGGGUAUUUUUGGAGAGAAAAUGCAAGAUUUUGUGGAAAAUGCGGGAUUUUGCAAGAGAAAAUGUGUGCUUUUGGGGUUAAUGGGGUAUUUUUGGAGAGAAAAUGCAUGAUUUGGGGGUAAAUGCGUAUUUUCCAAGAGAAAAGGUGAGGUUUUUGAGUUAAAUGGGGGGUUUUCCAAGAGAAAAUGCGUGAUUUUGGGGUUAAAGGGGAUUGUUGAAGAGAAAACGCGCAAUUUUUGGUUUGAA